rnacentral:piRNA from 1 species
ACCCUGCCACUUGACACUAAAAGGACCUU